CAAGUUAUCUAUUAGAUAGGAUUUUCUUUUACAUUGAAAAUUUUGAUGUGCAAUUCAUUAUAAUUUGA
rnacentral:tRNA from 1 species